AUGCCCUGGUGGCACUCAGGCUGCUGUGACGUGGGGUGGCAUCGCAGGGUGGUCACAGCCCCACAGCAGGUCCCCCCUCAGCCCCAUGCACCCUAUUCUCCUCUGUGGGGCUGUGCCGGGCUCUGCCCAGCAGCUCUGGGCUGUUUCCAGCAGGGUAAUCAGAUCGGGCUGCUGCACGCUGCUUGUUUUUCCACCUGUGAAAUGGAGAUGGGGAGAGGUGCCAGGGUUACAGGAGCUGGUUGUCACCCACACCCUGCCCUGGGGGAUGCUCCACGCCUCAUCCAUCUGUCCUCGUGGCUUUCCCCUGCCUCCUGCCCACUGCUGCCAUGGGGUCACUUUGCUCAGAGCCUUCCAAAAAUCUUUUCCCCCGUGUGCUGUCUCCUGACUGCGUUUCGCUCCUCGCUGCAGGUUCAUGAAUCACCGCGUCCCCUCCAACCGCAGGUACCAGCCGACGGAGUACGAGCACGCAGCCAACUGUGCCACCCACGCCUUCUGGAUCCUGCCCAGCAUCCUCGGCAGCUCCAUCCUCUACAUCCUCUCCGACGACCAGUGGGAGACCAUCUCGGCCUGGAUCUAUGGCUUUGGCUUGUCCAGCCUCUUCAUCGUCUCCACCAUCUUCCACACCAUCUCCUGGAAGAAGAGGCACCUCAGGUACCAGCCCUGCCUGCUCGUGGCUCAGGAGGGGGGGACAACAGUCCUAGAGCCCUGGCAGCCCCUGGCAAACCCUCAGAGAUUUUUCUGAGCUAUGUCAAUAGAAAACAACAUUUCAAUGCAUCUUUUAGUUUAUUAUUUAUAUCAUUUAUUUUAUUUUUUUUUACCAUUUAUUAUUUAUAUAAUUUAUUUUAUUUUAUAUCAUUUAUUUUAUGAUUUAUAUCAGUUAUUUUAUUACUCAUAUCCAUUAUUUAUAUUACUUAUUUUAUUUUAUAACAUUUUCUUUAUGACUUAUAACAGUUAUUUUAUUUUAUAUAAUGUAUUUUAUGAUUUAUAUCAUUUAUUUUAUGAUUUAUAUCAGUUGUUUUCAAGUGCAUCAUUUUUAUUUUAUUUUUUUUUUAAAGUUUCUGGUUUGACAGCAUACCCUGGAUCUGUGGUGCCCUGGGCUCUGAUGUGUCUGUCU
rnacentral:lncRNA from 1 species